rnacentral:lncRNA from 1 species
AGCGCGCUUAGUAGCGUCUGCGAGUGUCCCAUCCGUUGCCAUCCUCAGCGAGACCGGAUCGCAGCGCGACGGAGGGGUGCGGGUGGUGCUAUGGGAGACUGGAGGAUAGUCUGGGGCCUUCAGCCGGGACUUAUCGGAACCGAUAGCCGGCCCCAGGAGCCUCCGGAGGCCCGUCGUUUUCUUUACAAAGUUUGACUCCGUGAUAACCAGCAAAUUGCAACUCUCAAUGACUCUAGUCUGGCCUCGAACCCACGGCAGCUCCCUUGCCUCAAUCUUUCCAGUGCCAGGAUUCCAGGCGGGACCACUAUGCCCGAUUUCCGUGGUUCUUAACUUGCAUUUGGGAAGUUGAGUCCUACGGGGAGUGAAGCGCCACAUUGCUGGGUUUGGGGACAAGCGGACGUCAGUCCUCCCCUCCGUACUUACCGGAACUGUGCUCCCAGUGUCUUUGGUCGGAAGGGUGUGUAGUAAUCCCGUCUGUUUUGUGAGUUGCGAAGAUGCCUGCCGUAGGGUCUUGAAGGUGCAAAGAAACUGCUGGUGUUGACAUUCGCCACAACAAGGACCGAAAGGUUCGGCGCAAGGAGCCCAAGAGCCAGGAUAUCUACCUGCGGCUGCUAGUCAAGCUGUACAGGUUUCUGGCCAGACGGACCAACUCCACCUUCAACCAGGUUGUGCUGAAAAGGUUAUUUAUGAGCCGAACUAACCGGCCACCUCUGUCCCUGUCCCGAAUGAUCCGGAAGAUGAAGCUUCCUGGUCGGGAGAACAAAACUGCUGUGGUUGUGGGGACGAUCACAGAUGAUGUGCGGAUUCUGGAAGUGCCCAAGCUGAAGGUAAGUGGCCAGCAUGGGCCCAGGGUACAUGUCUCUGGCCUUGCUGUGUGCGGGUGGCUCCCUUCAUGUGAGCUGUAGUCAGAGCUGCUCUGCUCUUUGUUUUGUGGAGUGGUGCUUUGGAAUCCUUUUAGACAGGAAGUAUUGAGGGUGCUUGCCAUCCACUGGAAAGAUUUUGGUGGCAGUUUAUCAGAGUCCGCUACCUGAGUGGUGUGACAAUCCCCCUAUUUCUGGUGUGUACCCUCAGGUGUGUGCACUGAGGGUGAGCAGCCGGGCCCGAAGUCGGAUCCUCAAGGCUGGGGGUAAGAUCCUGACCUUCGACCAGCUGGCCCUGGAGUCUCCCAAGGGCAGGGGCACUGUGCUCUUGUCUGGUCCUCGGAAGGGCCGAGAGGUGUACCGACACUUUGGCAAGGCCCCAGGAACUCCACACAGCCACACCAAACCCUAUGUCCGUUCCAAGGGCCGGAAGUUCGAGCGUGCCAGAGGCCGAAGGGCCAGCCGAGGCUACAAAAACUAACCCUGGCUCUUACUGUUAAUAAAAAAGCUUUGGAUGUUG